rnacentral:rRNA from 1 species
GUCUACAGCCAUACCACGUUGAAAACACCGGUUCUCGUCUGAUCACCGAAGUUAAGCAACGUCGGGCCCGGUUAGUACUUGGAUGGGUGACCACCUGGGAAUACCGGGUGCUGUAGACU